UAAUACGUAGGGUGCGAGCGUUGUCCGGAAUUAUUGGGCGUAAAGGGCCCGUAGGCGGUCUGUCGCGUCGGGAGUGAAAACUCGGGGCUUAACUCCGAGCCUGCUUCUGAUACGGGCAGACUAGAGGUAUGCAGGGGAGAAUGGAAUUCCUGGUGUAGCGGUGAAAUGCGCAGAUAUCAGGAGGAACACCGGUGGCGAAGGCGGUUCUCUGGGCAUGACCUGACGCUGAGGAGCGAAAGUGGGGGGAGCGAACA
rnacentral:rRNA from 1 species